CGUCAUAUUUUCUCCAAAAAAAGACCAUAGUGUAGUCCCAAUUAACUGGCUUGUUGAAACAGAAACACAAAAAUUGUAUACAAUUUUGUUACUGGCCAUCAAUAAGGGUAACUAGUACAGAUUUACAAGAGGCUGUAAGUCCAGAUCCGUCCUGGAAUCAAUAUAAAAUCCGUGUAGUUGGUGGCAACAAAACUUACAGUAAUUUAAGUAAAGCUUGGCAUGAGCGAAUUGAAAUAGAAUCAACUGACAAAGAGAGCAUUGUAAAUGAUAAUCAUCUGUUUAAAAGAAAUAAAAAAAAGAAAAUUGUUGAUUCUAGUGAUAGUAGUGAAAAUGAAGGUAAAUAUUUAUUAGCUCUGUCAAAUUAUUAAUAUUAAUUGUUUAUUUGAUUUACUUUGUUUUAAGAUUCAAGUUAUACUAUUGUACCUUGUAAUAUACAAAAUGAAUUGCUGUUUAAUACUACAAGAACUCAACAAAAUUCAAUACAUACCGAUGCAAUUCAAACAGUAAAUACUAACACAAUUACACAACAACAACCGUCUACAUCGACUUAUACACAUGACAAUAAUUUUUCAUCAAUUGAAUUUAAUAAACCGGGUUCCAUUAUUAGUCAAGUUGAUUGUUAUACAAAUGUUCUAUCAAGUUCUUCUUUUUCGGCAGUACCAGCAUUUUCUGAUAACCAAAAAAAAUCUUAUACAGAUCUGGAAGUUAAAUCAUUAACUUCACCAAAUUCAACAAUGAUACAACACUCAAGUAUGAUAGAACCGUUGACAUAUGACUCAUCAUAUAUAGAACCACAGGAUAAUUAUUUAGAAAUUCAAAAUGAACCAUUAACAUUUUCCCAAGAUUCUCCUGAAGGUAAUAUACAAUUUUUUAAUU